AACGAACGCUGGCGGCAUGCCUAACACAUGCAAGUCGAACGAGAAAGCUCUUCGGAGUGAGUAGAGUGGCGCACGGGUGAGUAACACGUGGGUGACCUACCUAUUGGUGGGGGAUAACCAGAAGAAAUUCUGGCUAAUACCGCAUAAGUAAGUAAUUAGAAAGGAUGCCUCUGUAUAUGCAUUCGCCGAUAGAUGGGCCCGCGCGACAUUAGCUUGAUGGUGGGGUAAAAGCCUACCAUGGCAACGAUGUCUAGCUGGUUUGAGAGAAUGAUCAGCCACACUGGGACUGAGACACGGCCCAG
rnacentral:rRNA from 1 species